AGUGAAUGCUGGCGGUAGGCCUACACAUGCAAGUCGAACGGCAGCACAGUAAGAGCUUGCUCUUACGGGUGGCGAGUGGCGGACGGGUGAGGAAUACAUCGGAAUCUACUUUUUCGUGGGGGAUAACGUAGGGAAACUUACGCUAAUACCGCAUACGACCUACGGGUGAAAGCAGGGGAUCUUCGGACCUUGCGCGAUUGAAUGAGCCGAUGUCGGAUUAGCUAGUUGGCGGGGUAAAGGCCCACCAAGGCGACGAUCCGUAGCUGGUCUGAGAGGAUGAUCAGCCACACUGGAACUGAGACACGGUCCAGACUCCUACGGGAGGCAGCAGUGGGGAAUAUUGGACAAUGGGCGCAAGCCUGAUCCAGCCAUACCGCGUGGGUGAAGAAGGCCUUCGGGUUGUAAAGCCCUUUUGUUGGGAAAGAAAAGCAGCAGGUUAAUACCCCGCUGUUCUGACGGUACCCAAAGAAUAAGCACCGGCUAACUUCGUG
rnacentral:rRNA from 1 species